CCUACGGGAGGCAGCAGUAGGGAAUUUUCGUCAAUGGGCGCAAGCCUGAACGAGCAAUGCCGCGUGAACGAGGAAGGUCUUCGGAUCGUAAAGUUCUGUUGAAGGGGAAAAAGAGCGGAGAGAGGAAAUGCUUUCUGAUUGAUAUUACCCUUCGAGGAAGUCACGGCUAACUACGUGCCAGCAGCCUCGGUAAUACGUAGGUGGCGAGCGUUAUCCGGAAUGAUUGGGCGUAAAGGGUGCGUAGGCGGCCUGCUAAGUCUGGAGGGAAAGGUACCGGCUCAACCGGUACAGGCUCUGGAAACUGGCGGGUGAGGGGGCAGGAGAGGGCGGGGGAACUCUAUGGGUGGGGGUAAAAUGGGUAG
rnacentral:rRNA from 1 species